AUGUUGUUAUUUUCUUCGAUGUUGGAAGAAAGUGUAUCUUCCCAAAAGGACAGAAGGCCCUCAUCUUAUGAAUCAAGUGAUGCAUACAACCUAUUUUAUCAAAAAAUUAUUUUUGGAGAAUUAUCUUGUCUGAACAUAGAAGAAAACAUUAACUUGCUAGAACUUAGGCAAGUGAUGGUAAAAUGCAUGCUUCCCCAUAAUUCAUUUCAUGAGGGUGUGACACAUAUGGUGGUGGAGGACAAAAAAAUGAGGCAAUAUAGACUUUGGCGCUACUUUGCAACAAUGUUUGACCUCCAUUAA
rnacentral:rRNA from 1 species